CAUUAGAUGUCUGAAAUGUAAGAGAUGAUUUUUUAAAUCAUAAUAUAGUAUAUAUUCGAAUACUUCUAAUGA
rnacentral:tRNA from 1 species